UUAUUAGAUAAAAAGCCAGUUCAUGCUUUUACAGUAUGAAAAUUGGUGAUUUAUAAUAACUUAGCAAAUCGCAAAGUGAAAACAGGCGAUAAAUCAUUCAAGUUUCUGACCUAUCAGCUUUCGACGGUAUGGUAUUGGCUUACCGUGGCAGUGACGGUUAACGGGGGAUUAGGGUUCGAUUCCGGAGAGGGAGCCUGAGAAACGGCUACCACAUCUAAGGAAGGCAGCAGGCGCGCAAAUUACCCAAUUCUAACAGUUUGAGAGAGGUAGUAACAAGAAAUAACAAUACAAGGCAGUUAAAAUGCUUUGUAAUUGGAAUGAUAGAAAUUUAAACCCUUUUUAAAGUAUCAAUUGGAGGGCAAGUCUGGUGCCAGCAGCCGCGGUAAUUCCAGCUCCAAUAGCGUAUAUUAAAAUUGUUGCAGUUAAAAAGCUCGUAGUUGAAGUUCUGCUGAAAGUAACCGGUCUGCUUUUAAUAAAAGUGGUAUCUUGGUAUGUAUUUAGCAAUGAUGUCCUUUGAAGUGUUUUUUACUUUAUUGUAAUAAAGCAUAUUCAGGACUUUUACUUUGAGAAAAUUAGAGUGUUUCUAGCAGGCUAACGCUUUGAAUACUGCAGCAUG
rnacentral:rRNA from 1 species